GUCCAUUAUUGCUGGAAGAAAAUUGAGCAUGAAGUUUGUAAAUAUUCCUCUGGAUAUCAGAUUUGUAGUGGUUGGCUCAACUGAAAAAGCUCAGUGGGAGAUUCAAGGAAGCCUUGCUAUGAAUAUAAGCAGUACCAUUGCAUCAGGAAUGGGUCUAGUUUUACAAACAGUGGAUAUGAAAGUUAGCAUUUGAAGCAUGAGAAGUUUAAAGUCUACAUAUGGAAAAUAUGCUUCAGUGAGUGAUUCCUAUGUCAAUAUAUACACCAAGUCAUUAGAAUUAUCAGAAACAUUUGUGGCAUGUUUCUGAGUAACUCUUUUAUUGAAGAUCUUUCACCUGGAAGAGAACUGAUUUUUUUUCCACCGAGAUAAGGAAAUUGCAAUGCCUCCCUUUUCUGACUUAAAGAAAAUCCUGCCGCUGUACAAACUUUUUUUUUUUCCUUUUCUGACAGUGUUGAUGGACUUUUCUGGUUAGUUGAAGGAGAUGUGCUAAUUAUAGGUGUGACAUAAUCUUCAGAGUUCUGUAAGGGUAUCAUUUGGAGGAGGAAUGAGUUAGGCAAUAAAGUGAUUCCUGGAUUUAUCUUGGAGGAUCCAGAGAAGACUAUUUGUGACUCACCUUUGAUAUUUUGUUGUGUUGGGCUAUACUUGGAUUUGGACACAGCUCAUUCGAUUAGAGUAUUGAAUAGGAAUAGGCUUAGAAUUGGAGCAUGGAAGUCCAAGGUGACAUGUUGCACAUCUCCCAAUGCUCAGGUCCUCCCCAUUCCUUUAUUCCACACACAAAUAUGAACAUGAACAUUUUCGGUAAGUAUUUCUGAUCGCCAACCUGAUCCUGUCCCUGAUGGAAGUGUGCACUGCUUUGACUCUCUCUGCUUCUGGAUGCAAGGUGGCAUUCCUCAUCACUCAGGUGAGUGUUCUGGGCAUUUUAUGUUUCUCAUGGGAU
rnacentral:lncRNA from 1 species